rnacentral:rRNA from 1 species
UGCAUGGUUGUCGUCAGCUCGUGUCGUGAGAUUGUUGGGUUAAGUCCCGCAACGAGCGCAACCCUCGACCUUAGUUGCCAGCAUUUCAGUUGGGCACUCUAAGGUGACUGCCGGCUAAAGUCGGAGGAAGUGGGGAUGACGUCAAAUCAUCAUGCCCCUUAUGACCUGGGCUACACACGUGCUACAAUGGGCGGUACAAAGGGUCGCGAACCCGCGAGGGGGGAGCCAAUCCCAAAAAGCCGCUCUCAGUUCGGAUUGCAGGCUGCAACUCGCCUGCAUGAAGCCGGAAUCGCUAGUAAUCGCGGAUCAGCAUGCCGCGGUGAAUACGUUCCCGGGCCUU